GAUGAACGCUGGCGGCGUGCCUAACACAUGCAAGUCGAGCGAUCUUCUUCGGAAGAGAGCGGCGGACGGGUGAGUAACGCGUGGGUAACCUGCCCUGUACACACGGAUAACAUACCGAAAGGUAAGCAAAUACCAGAGAAUAUGCUAUUAUCUGAUGGUAGAAGUAUCAAAGCUCCGGCGGUACAGGAUGGACCCGCGGCUGAUUAGCUAGUUGGUAAGGUAACGGCUUAGCAAGGCGACGAUCAGUAGCCGACCUGAGAGGGUGAUCGGCAACAAUGGAACUGAGACACGGUCCAAGCUCCUACGGAAGGCAGCAGUGGGGAAUAUUGCACAAUGGGCGAAAGCCUGAUGCAGCAACGCCGCGUGAGCGAUGAAGGCCUUCGGGUCGUAAAGCUCUGUCCUCAAGGAAGAUAAUGACGGUACUUGAGGAGGAAGCCCCGGCUAACUACGUGCCAGCCGCCGCGGUAA
rnacentral:rRNA from 1 species